GUGCCAGCAGCCGCGGUAAUACGUAGGGAGCAAGCGUUGUUCGGAUUUACUGGGCGUAAAGGGCGCGUAGGCGGCGCGGUAAGUCACUUGUGAAAUCUCUGAGCUUAACUCAGAACGGCCAAGUGAUACUGCUGUGCUAGAGUGCGGAAGAGGCAACCGGAAUUCUUGGUGUAGCGGUGAAAUGCGUAGAUAUCAAGAGGAACACCUGAGGCGAAGGCGGGUUGCUGGGCCGACACUGACGCUGAUGCGCGAAAGCCAGGGGAGCAAACGGGAUUAGAUACCCCGGUAGUCC
rnacentral:rRNA from 1 species